CGGACUUGAAAAUCCGUUGGCUUUAUUGACCGUGAGGGUUCAAGUCCCUCUACCCCCA
rnacentral:tRNA from 1 species